GCAGACACAUUCCAGCCAAUCAGCAGCAGACCCUCCCUCCCAGACCCUGCCACCUCCUGGACAGCAUCCAUUUUACAUUCAUUGUGAAGCUGCAUUCUUAGUGAGCUGUCCAGGAGGUGGGAGGGUCUGGGAGGGAGGGUCUGCUGCUGUUUGGCUGGAAUGUGUCUG
rnacentral:miRNA from 1 species